AGCAAGUCGAGCAAGGUAAAAGCAGUUGGCAAGCGUAGUGACGCUAUUUCGAAUCGGACCGUUAAGGAAUCUAUUGAUUUGAACAAAAUCAAAUAGAUUAGUAUGACCUGUUGGGUCAUGAAUCCUUCAAUGCCGCGGACAAAUCGUGAUUAUUUUUCGCAAAACGUGCCUGCGUAGAAUAUUGAAUUGGAUAUCAACGAGAACUCUACGAGGAUAAAAGCAGCGCAGAUUAAAGGUGUUCAACGAAGGCGGACGUUGCGGUUUUUCGGUUGCUGUUACAGAAAUGGUGGAGUCAUGUUAUCAAGUAAAUGAAUUAAAAAUUAAUAGA